UGGGGAAUAUUGCACAAUGGGCGAAAGCCUGAUGCAGCGACGCCGCGUGAGGGAUGACUGCCUUCGGGUUGUAAACCUCUUUCAGUAGGGACGAAGCGCAAGUGACGGUACCUGCAGAAGAAGCACCGGCUAACUACGUGCCAGCAGCCGCGGUAAUACGUAGGGUGCGAGCGUUGUCCGGAAUUACUGGGCGUAAAGAGCUCGUAGGCGGUUUGUCACGUCGUCUGUGAAAUCCUAGGGCUUAACCCUGGACGUGCAGGCGAUACGGGCUGACUUGAGUACUACAGGGGAGACUGGAAUUUCUGGUGUAGCGGUGGAAUGCACAGAUAUCAGGAAGAACACCGAUGGCGAAGGCAGGUCUCUGGGUAGUAACUGACGCUGAGGAGCGAAAGCAUGGGUAGCGAACAGG
rnacentral:rRNA from 1 species